GACGAACGCUGGCGGCGUGCUUAACACAUGCAAGUCGAACGGAAAGGCCCUGCUUUUGUGGGGUGCUCGAGUGGCGAACGGGUGAGUAACACGUGAGUAACCUGCCCUUGACUUUGGGAUAACUUCAGGAAACUGGGGCUAAUACCGGAUAGGAGCUCCUGCUGCAUGGUGGGGGUUGGAAAGUUUCGGCGGCUGGGGAUGGACUCGCGGCUUAUCAGCUUGUUGGUGGGGUAGUGGCUUACCAAGGCUUUGACGGGUAGCCGGCCUGAGAGGGUGACCGGCCGCAUUGGGACUGAGAUACGGCCCAGACUCCUACGGGAGGCAGCAGUGGGGAAUAUUGCACAAUGGGCGGAAGCCUGAUGCAGCAACGCCGCGUGCGGGAUGACGGCCUUCGGGUUGUAAACCGCUUUCGCCUGUGACGAAGCGUGAGUGACGGUAAUGGGUAAAGAAGCACCGGCUAACUACGUG
rnacentral:rRNA from 1 species